CCAAAAUAAGCUCCGGCCCAUCUAGAAGACGGUUCUCGUUGCUUCGUCUUCCUCGCUGCCACUGGGAACAUUUGAUUCGCAGGGUGUCCCCGUAACCCUAAUGUCCGCCAUCCACUCGUACAGAAAACGCUUGCCUGAGUCUGGGAAAUAGCCCUUGAUUUUUCCCGAAAAAUGGAAGAUCACAAGCUCAAUAGGAAACGAGGCCGAAAACCUAAAAAGCCAGUGGAUGAGACUAGUAUGGACUUCCAGUACAUCACUUCCGGCGGCGCCAGCCCCGCCGCUGUGGAUGAGACUAGUAUGGACUUCUAGUAGGGCUGCAGAUAGAUGCUGCCAUAAACUCUGGAAAUUCUGGUGGAGCUGCUUUUAAUAAUAAGGGGAAAUGUGUGGGCAUUGCUUUUCAAUCACUUAAACAUGAAGGUGGGGAGAACAUUGGUUAUGUCAUACCAACUACAGUUAUCAUGCACUUUAUUCAAGAUUAUGAGAGGAAUGGAGCAUAUACAGGAUUUCCAAUACUGGGUAUUGAGUGGCAGAAGAUGGAAAAUCCUGAUCUGCGGAUGUCAAUGGGCAUGGACUCUGACCAGAAAGGAGUUCUUAUUAAAAGAAUUGAACCUACAGCUUCAGAAUGUCAAGUUCUGAAGCCAUCUGAUGUCAUCCUUAGCUUUAAUGGGAUCAACAUUGCUAAUGAUGGAACAGUUCCAUUUAGGCAUGGGGAGCGUAUAUCUUUCAGUUAUCUUGUCUCUCAGAAAUAUACUGGGGAUAGAGCUCUAGUUGAAGUUCUCCGAAAUUCAAAGAUACUUGAGUUCAACAUUAAACUUGGAACUCAUAAAAGGCUUAUACCAGCACACAUCAAGGGCAGACCACCUUCUUACUAUAUUGUUGGUGGGUUUGUAUUUACAGCUGUUUCUCUUCCAUAUUUGCGUUCUGAGUAUGGAAGAGAUUAUGAAUUUGAUGCUCCGGUCAAACUGUUGGAUAAACUUCUACAUGCAAUGGCACAAUCUGCUGAUGAACAGCUGCUUGUUGUUUCUCAGGCGUUUUUUCCCCUCCUCUCUAAUGUGCUUGCAGCUGACAUCAAUGUUGGAUACGAGGACAUAGUGAAUACUCAGGUUUUGGCAUUCAAUGGGAAGCCCAUCAAGAAUCUGAAAACCUUGGCUCGAAUGGUGGAGAGCUGUGAUGAAGAAUUUUUGACAUUUGAGCUGGAGUAUCAACAGAUUGCAAUCCUGCGGACUAAGGCCGCAAAAGAAGCAACUUUAGAUAUUCUCAAGACGUAUUGUAUUCCAUCAACCAUGUCGAGGAUCUCAAGAGGUGAAGCAGAUUUUACGUGUUAAGGUUUUUGGGAUUCCAUUGCCAAUAGGGAAAAAGGAGGACACGUCCAUUUGUUUCAAAAUGCCCUUCUUGUUUCAUACACGGUUAUGCCAUCCAAUCACAUGUUAGUUAAAAAGUUGCAUCACGUGAUCAUAUAAGCCCACUCACAAGCCAAUGUAGUAUGUUGAAAGAUAAAUGCCAAUCAUCUACCUACCCGCUCUGCUGAUACUGAGAUCUGAGUUGCCAGGCGGCCCGGUCUACAUUUCUUCAGUUUUUGCGGCUUCGCAGCAGAGGGAUUCUUUCAUCAGAUGAGGGCGACGAUUCCACGUCGCCAGUUUCACAACCCUCAGCCAUGUCUUCUUUCGCCUUCCCCCACAUUACAGUGUAAAACCCGACAGAUAUUAUCGUUGCUCCAACCAUGCUGCAACAAAGGAAAAGGGAAUGAAUGAUAAUUAAGGCCAAAUGAUCGAUCUCACGCAUUAUGGAGAUGCCUGAUGCGUCUCUUCACAAUGGCAAAUCAAAUCAGCCGAUAUGUGGAGUAAAAUUACCUUCCCAGAUACAGAGUGUCGCCCAGGAAGAUGACCCCCAUGGCCACUGCAAUGGCGAUGGACAGUGGCUUGAACAUGGCGACAUAGACCGGCCCUCGGACUCGCAGCACCCAUGUGUGCACGGCAUUGUUCAAGAACGACCCGAAUAUGCCCUGCGCAAACACAGAAUCCACCACAUUCAGUCUAGCUAUUAAGUUAUGACCGCAGCGACAAGGUUCUUUCCUUCUUUGUCUACUGACCGAGCAUAAUACAGAGACCAAUGCUAUAUCAAAUCUGAUUCUCCAAGCGCUGGUAUUCGGCUCCGCGAUGACGCCGACGAUCGCUGCUAGGAUGCUAACGCACAAGUUGUAGAAGAAGACCACCGUCAGUUCAGCUGGGUACUCUUUCAUGAUCUGUGCCUGCUCAAAUGACAUUUACAAAGUCUCGCCAUAUUACAAACAUAGGAUAAGAGUUGAAAGGGAAGAGGCAGAGAAGAGGUACCUGAACAAUGUACCACAUUGGUACGAGAAGAUACUCUGUCGUGAGGCAAAGUCCGCCGAUGACCCAUUUGGACGGCGGCAAGCUGGGCUGACGAAGUGAAACAGAGGGCGGCAGACCCGGCGGUGCGAUCGCCGGACCUUUGUAAAGAGUGACUACAAAUGCGCCUGAAAUUGAUACUACGGUGCCUAUGAUUUUAGCUCGACUGGUGGAGCUUCUGAGCGCUAGCUUCUCCAUCCUAUUAUUUUAAAGCAGCCCCCACCCCCCCCCAAAAAAAAAAAAAAAAAGCAUUAUUGGACGAGAAGAGAAACCCAGUCCAAGAAAGAUGAAAGAAACCAAGUACCCCACAUCGGAAAACAUAAAUAAAUUGUCUUGCUUCCAAAGCUUUUGUCUGAUUAGGGUAACACAAGUGGCUCCUUGAAUUGAACGCAGAGAGAGAGAGAGAGAGAGGCAUCACCUGAACAUGAGUGCAAGGAUGAAAGUGAAAGCGGGGACGAGGUUGCUUAUGGCUGAAGCCAGCGUGGGCGAGCUGUAGUUGAUUCCCGUGUAUCCCAUCACCUGCGACGUGGACCUGUUCACAACACUUGACUGCUCAGAAAACAAGGAUUCCAAUCUUACCCAUCUCUAAUUAUUUGAUCAAUAUUCAGACGAAAUCUGUGUUUGCUUGCUUGCUGGUUUCUUCAUACCCGAUGAGCCCAAGAAGGAGGAUUUUGCAUGCGACGGACAAGGUGACCGGAGGCAGCGUCCUUGAUCUGCAAAAUCAAAUUCAGAAGCACAAAAGAUAAAACAAAUAUGGGGGGAGAGAGAGAGAGAGAGAGAGACCUGGAGGAGAAGAAGGGGGAAGGGAGGAGGAGGAGAGCGGCGACUGCGUAGGAGUAGACGACGAAGACGUGGUGGCUCAUGCCCCUAACGGUGGCCGCUUUGAACAGCGUGUUCAGGCCGACGUUCAUGCACUCCAUUGUCACCAUCGCCGUCACCGGCAGCACCUCCCUGUACCAGUACUUUUCUCUGUCCAUUCUCUGAGUCUGUCUGUCUCUCUCUCUCUACACUUUCUGUUGCAGAUUGCUUUUAGAUGUUAA